UGGUUGUACAGCUGGCUCAGCCACUGAGUAGCCAUGUGUAGCCUUGGGCAAGUUACCUAACACCAUGAUGAGAGACUCUUCUUUAUUCACUACUACCCAUGACUCUGAUUGGAAAUGUUUGGGUGAUUCAAGGAUGCUGCAUCAGGAUGCUUAUCAUUGAUCCACAGUUUUUUUCCUAUUAGGUCUCAACAGAUUGGAUGGUGCCCACCCACAUUGAAGAGGACAAUCUACUUAAUCCGACUGUUUCAAAUGCUGAUCUCACCCAGAAUUCCAACUGAUUCUGUCCCAUAAGCCAUCUGAGAGUGACUCUUUCCAGGAAAGUGAAGAAAAUUCCCGAGGGCCUGUGAUUCCAAAGUGGGAAAAAGAAAAAGAGCUAGCUCAUGCACUGAACACAAUGAUGACCCAGUUUCUGAUUUUGUCUAGGAUGUCACAGUAAUAUAAAAAGAACAGAGAAGAACAAGGGACAUGAAUCUUGAGCUCUUAAGAAUUAAAGUCUUGCCAAUAUGGUUGUU